CCUACGGGGUGCAGCAGUGAGGAAUAUUGGUCAAUGGGCGGAAGCCUGAACCAGCCAAGUCGCGUGAGGGAUUAAGGCCCUGCGGGUCGUAAACCUCUUUUGCCGGGGAGCAGUGGUCCGGACGCGUCCGGACCGGGAGAGUACCCGGAGAAAAAGCAUCGGCUAACUCCGUGCCAGCAGCCGCGGUAAUACGGAGGAUGCGAGCGUUAUCCGGAUUUAUUGGGUUUAAAGGGUGCGUAGGCGGGCAUUUAAGCCGGCGGUCAAAUGUCGGGGCUCAACCCCGGCCUGCCGUCGGAAAUGGGUGCAUUGAGUGGGCGAGAAGUAUGCGGAAUGCGUGGUGUAGCGGUGAAAUGCAUAGAUAUAUGGAAGAACACCAGUGGCGAAAGCGGCUCUCUGGUCUGUAACUGACGCUGAGGUUCGAAAGCGUGGGUAGCAAACAGGAUUAGAUACCCGUGUAGUC
rnacentral:rRNA from 1 species